rnacentral:rRNA from 1 species
AGAGUUUGAUCAUGGCUCAGAACGAACGCUGGCGGCAUGCCUAACACAUGCAAGUCGAACGCGGGGCUUCGGCCCCGAGUGGCGCACGGGUGAGUAGCGCGUGGGAACCUGCCCUUCAGUGGGGGAUAACCGAGGGAAACUUCGGCUAAUACCGCAUGCGCCCGGAGCAAUCCGGGGAAAGAUUUAUCGCUGAAGGAGGGGCCCGCGUCGGAUUAGCUAGUUGGUAGGGUAACGGCCUACCAAGGCUUUGAUCCGUAGCUGGUCUGAGAGGAUGAUCAGCCACACUGGGACUGAGACACGGCCCAGACUCCUACGGGAGGCAGCAGUGGGGAAUAUUGGACAAUGGGCGAAAGCCUGAUCCAGCAAUGCCGCGUGAGUGAGGAAGGCCUUAGGGUUGUAAAGCUCUUUCGGCGGGGACGAUGAUGACGGUACCCGCAGAAGAAGCCCCGGCUAACUUCGUGCCAGCAGCCGCGGUAAUACGAAGGGGGCGAGCGUUGUUCGGAUUUACUGGGCGUAAAGGGCGCGCAGGCGGUCAUUUUUGUCGAGUGUGAAAGCCCCGGGCUUAACCUGGGAACUGCGCUCGAAACGGGAUGACUAGAGAUCGGGAGAGGAGAGUGGAAUUCCCAGUGUAGAGGUGAAAUUCGUAGAUAUUGGGAAGAACACCGGUGGCGAAGGCGGCUCUCUGGACCGAUACUGACGCUGAGGCGCGAAAGCGUGGGGAGCAAACAGGAUUAGAUACCCUAGUAGUCC